UACGAAGGGGACUAGCGUUGUUCGGAAUUACUGGGCGUAAAGCGCACGUAGGCGGCUCUUUAAGUCGGGGGUGAAAUCCUGGAGCUCAACUCCAGAACUGCCUUCGAUACUGAAGAGCUCGAGUCCGGGAGAGGUGAGUGGAACUGCGAGUGUAGAGGUGAAAUUCGUAGAUAUUCGCAAGAACACCAGUGGCGAAGGCGGCUCACUGGCCCGGUACUGACGCUGAGGUGCGAAAGCGUGGGGAGCAAACAGG
rnacentral:rRNA from 1 species